rnacentral:rRNA from 1 species
GCUUACGGCCAUUCCACCUGAACACGCCCGAUCUCGUCCGAUCUCGGAAGCUAAGCAGGGUCGGGCCUGGUUAGUACUUGGAUGGGAGACCGCCUGGGAAUACCAGGUGCUGUAAGCU